GAUCCAGACUUUGAUCAUGGCUCAGGAUGAACGCUAGCUACGGGCUUAACACAUGCAAGUCGAGGGGAAACGAUAGAGAAAGCUUGCUUUUUCUAGGCGUCGACCGGCGCACGGGUGAGUAACGCGUAUCCAACCUGCCCAUCACUUGGGGAUAACCUUGCGAAAGUAAGGCUAAUACCCAAUGAUAUCUCUAGAAGACAUCUGAAAGAGAUUAUAGAUUUAUCGGUGAUGGAUGGGGAUGCGUCUGAUUAGCUUGUUGGCGGGGUAACGGCCCACCAAGGCGACGAUCAGUAGGGGUUCUGAGAGGAAGGUCCCCCACAUUGGAACUGAGACACGGUCCAAACUCCUACGGGAGGCAGCAGUGAGGAAUAUUGGUCAAUGGACGAGAGUCUGAACCAGCCAAGUAGCGUGCAGGAUGACGGCCCUAUGGGUUGUAAACUGCUUUUAUAAGGGAAUAAAGUGAGUCUCGUGAGACUUUUUGCAUGUACCUUAUGAAUAAGGACCGGCUAAUUCCGUGCCAGCAGCCGCGGUAAUACGGAAGGUCCGGGCGUUAUCCGGAUUUAUUGGGUUUAAAGGGAGCGUAGGCCGGAGAUUAAGCGUGUUGUGAAAUGUAGACGCUCAACGUCUGCACUGCAGCGCGAACUGGUUUCCUUGAGUACGCACAAAGUGGGCGGAAUUCGUGGUGUAGCGGUGAAAUGCUUAGAUAUCACGAAGAACUCCGAUUGCGAAGGCAGCUCACUGGAGCGCAACUGACGCUGAAGCUCGAAAGUGCGGGUAUCGAACAGGAUUAGAUACCCUGGUAGUCCGCACGGUAAACGAUGGAUGCCCGCUGUUGGUCUGAAUAGGUCAGCGGCCAAGCGAAAGCAUUAAGCAUCCCACCUGGGGAGUACGCCGGCAACGGUGCAACUCAAAGGAAUUGACG
rnacentral:rRNA from 1 species